rnacentral:rRNA from 1 species
AGCGUUCUGUAAGCCUGCGAAGGUGUGCUGUGAGGCAUGCUGGAGGUAUCAGAAGUGCGAAUGCUGACAUAAGUAACGAUAAAGCGGGUGAAAAGCCCGCUCGCCGGAAGACCAAGGGUUCCUGUCCAACGUUAAUCGGGGCAGGGUGAGUCGACCCCUAAGGCGAGGCCGAAAGGCGUAGUCGAUGGGAAACAGGUUAAUAUUCCUGUACUUGGUGUUACUGCGAAGGGGGGACGGAGAAGGCUAUGUUAGCCGGGCGACGGUUGUCCCGGUUUAAGCAUGUAGGCUGGUUAUCCAGGCAAAUCCGGAUAACCAAGGCUGAGGUGUGAUGACGAGGCACUACGGUGCUGAAGUAACAAAUGCCCUGCUUCCAGGAAAAGCCUCUAAGCAUCAGGUAACAUCAAAUCGUACCCCAAACCGACACAGGUGGUCAGGUAGAGAAUACCAAGGCGCUUGAGAGAACUCGGGUGAAGGAACUAGGCAAAAUGGUGCCGUAACUUCGGGAGAAGGCACGCUGGUGUGUAGGUGAAGUCCCUGCGGAUGGAGCUGAGACCAGUCGAAGAUACCAGCUGGCUGCAACUGUUUAUUAAAAACACAGCACUGUGCAAACACGAAAGUGGACGUAUACGGUGUGACGCCUGCCCGGUGCCGGAAGGUUAAUUGAUGGGGUUAUCCGUAAGGAGAAGCUCUUGAUCGAAGCCCCGGUAAACGGCGGCCGUAACUAUAACGGUCCUAAGGUAGCGAAAUUCCUUGUCGGGUAAGUUCCGACCUGCACGAAUGGCGUAAUGAUGGCCAGGCUGUCUCCACCCGAGACUCAGUGAAAUUGAACUCGCUGUGAAGAUGCAGUGUACCCGCGGCAAGACGGAAAGACCCCGUGAACCUUUACUAUAGCUUGACACUGAACAUUGAGCCUUGAUGUGUAGGAUAGGUGGGAGGCUUUGAAGCGUGGACGCCAGUCUGCGUGGAGCCAACCUUGAAAUACCACCCUUUAAUGUUUGAUGUUCUAACGUUGGCCCCUGACCGGGGUUGCGGACAGUGUCUGGUGGGUAGUUUGACUGGGGCGGUCUCCUCCCAAAGCGUAACGGAGGAGCACGAAGGUUAGCUAAUCCUGGUCGGACAUCAGGAGGUUAGUGCAAUGGCAUAAGCUAGCUUGACUGCGAGCGUGACGGCGCGAGCAGGUGCGAAAGCAGGUCAUAGUGAUCCGGUGGUUCUGAAUGGAAGGGCCAUCGCUCAACGGAUAAAAGGUACUCCGGGGAUAACAGGCUGAUACCGCCCAAGAGUUCAUAUCGACGGCGGUGUUUGGCACCUCGAUGUCGGCUCAUCACAUCCUGGGGCUGAAGUAGGUCCCAAGGGUAUGGCUGUUCGCCAUUUAAAGUGGUACGCGAGCUGGGUUUAGAACGUCGUGAGACAGUUCGGUCCCUAUCUGCCGUGGGCGCUGGAGAAUUGAGGGGGGCUGCUCCUAGUACGAGAGGACCGGAGUGGACGCAUCACUGGUGUUCGGGUUGUCAUGCCAAUGGCACUGCCCGGUAGCUAAAUGCGGAAGAGAUAAGUGCUGAAAGCAUCUAAGCACGAAACUUGCCCCGAGAUGAGUUCUCCCUGAGACUAUAAGUCUCCUGAAGGAACGUUGAAGACGACGACGUUGAUAGGCCGGGUGUGUAAGCGCAGCGAUGCGUUGAGCUAACCGGUACUAAUGAACCGUGAGGCUUAACCUUACAACGCCGAAG